rnacentral:rRNA from 1 species
GAAUACGUUCCCGGGUCUUGUACACACCGCCCGUCACACCAUGGGAGCCAGGAAUGCCCGAAGCCAGUGGCCUAACCGCAAGGGAGGAGCUGUCGAAGGCAGGCCCGGUAACUGGGGUGAAGUCGUAACAAGGUAGC